AGUAGUUCUGAGAAUAGUUUAUGAGGAGGAAAAAAAAGCCAGGUUUCUGACAGCAGAGGACAAAAGCAGCAUUGAGGAAAAACAGGAAGACUAAACUGUGGAUGCAGCCACUGAACACAGCAAGCCAUGCAAGUAAACAAGUAACUAAAAAUGCAGAGAGCAUAGAGCCCUCACAUUGGCCCAGCAUAAAUGAAUUAUUUAGGAACAAAGUUCACACCAGAGCCACUAGGAGUAAGCUGGGAAGUGGAUAUUAGCUAACCUACCUGACAGUUGCAUGCAUUUUAAGGUAAGCCAAGAAUUGCCAAAUCAUAAAAACAAAAAUGCUUUUAUUUCCAACAUUCAGCGUUUACUAACUUACUCUCCAGUUAAAUGGCCUGUGCUUAUUUACAGAACAAUACCAAAGCCUGUUACCAGAUCUGCAAUAUACUAGGAAACCCUGUUAUUCUUUCGAUUAAAGUGUCCACAAUUCAAGAAUUGUUAGCCAAUAUAACCCCUGUAAGAGCAGAAUCUGCAAGAGCCUGAGAAAUGGAUUAAAGUUUGUAUCUCAAGCCAAAUUAGUUCUAGAAGGCAAAAGUUUACAAUGAGCAAUCGGUGAUUCAUGCAAAGCAAUGAUGAGCAAGAUGUUGAUAUUUUAGUACAUUAGCAAUAGUUUUAAAUGUAUUUUUAUUGUACUCUAAGAGUUUUGGAAAUUCUUAUGUGACACUAGAAGUUGGGAAGAGCUUUUUGGAAGUCUGGUGGAAGUGCCACCAAUUUUUUUGAUUGGAUGGAGAAGUAAAAGACACUGCUCAACACUGCAAAACUAUGUAUUCAGAGAAUACACUUACCUUAAG